AGGAUUUUGGUCCCCUUCAGUGAUUAUCAAGAAGAUGCAGGGGAAGAGGCCCUUCACAAGUGUGAAAUGCAGAGCACGGUCUGACACCUGCGAUCACACAGGAAAGAAGCACAAGGUUCCCUGCCUCAUUCAGUACACAGGAUACAUGGUGAUCUGGGAAUGAAUCGGGGUUGUGCAGUUCAGGAGAGCCCCUGCCUCAUUUGUUGAGGAAGUAGGAAUGUGUGUAGUGACAGCGAAUGAAACGGGAUUGCAGCCCCAGCUCCUGGAGUCCAGUGGAGAUGUGAUGAUUUCAGCCUUCAUGCCUAAAGAAAAAACAUGGAGCCCUAUCCUGUGCGGUGCUGAGUGCCCUGGCCUCCCAUUGACUACAGUGGGAGCUGAGGUUGCACCACAACUCCUGCAUUCAGGUCCUGAUCCAGCAGAGCCCCCUUUCCCUGGGGAAGGCAGUUCUGCCACCACAUGCAAAAGUGUUUUUCGCUCACACAAGAGCUGAGUGCCCAACAACAGAGAGAGAACUAGAGUGAAGGGCGUACAUGGAAGAUGGCUGCCCCACUGACA